rnacentral:rRNA from 1 species
UGGGGAAUAUUGGACAAUGGGCGCAAGCCUGAUCCAGCAAUGCCGCGUGUGUGAAGAAGGCCUUCGGGUUGUAAAGCACUUUUAUCAGGAGCGAAACGCUGUCGGCUAAUACCCGGCGGAACUGACGGUACCUGAGGAAUAAGCACCGGCUAACUUCGUGCCAGCAGCCGCGGUAAUACGAAGGGUGCAAGCGUUAAUCGGAAUUACUGGGCGUAAAGCGUGCGUAGGCGGUUUCUUAAGUCUGCUGUGAAACCCCCGGGCUCAACCUGGGAAUGGCAGUGGAUACUGGGAGGCUAGAGUGUGUCAGAGGGUGGUGGAAUUCCCGGUGUAGCGGUGAAAUGCGUAGAGAUCGGGAGGAACAUCAGUGGCGAAGGCGGCCACCUGGGACAACACUGACGCUGAGGCACGAAAGCGUGGGGAGCAAACAGGAUUAGAUACCCUGGUAGUCCACGCCCUAAAGCGAUGCGAACUGGAUGUUGGUCUCAACUCGGAGAUCAGUGUCGAAGCUAACGCGUUAAGUUCGCCGCCUGGGGAGUACGGUCGCAAGACUG